GAUGAACGCCGCGGCGUGCUUAACACAUGCAAGUCGAACGAAGCUGCUAAAAGGAAGUUUUCGGAUGGAAUUUUGGUAGACUUAGUGGCGGACGGGUGAGUAACGCGUGGAUAACCUGCCUUAUACAGGGGGAUAACGGAGAGAAAUUUCCGCUAAGACCGCAUAAGACCACAGCACCGCAUGGUGCAGGGGUAAAAUAUUUAUAGGUAUAAGAUGGAUCCGCGUCCGAUUAGCUAGUUGGUGAGGUAGAGGCUCACCAAGGCGACGAUCGGUAGCCGGCCUGAGAGGGUGAACGGCCACAUUGGGACUGAGACACGGCCCAAACUCCUACGGGAGGCAGCAGUGGGGAAUAUUGGACAAUGGGGGAAACCCUGAUCCAGCGACGCCGCGUGAGUGAAGAAGUAUUUCGGUAUGUAAAGCUCUAUCAGCAGGGAAGAAAGUGACGGUACCUGACUAAGAAGCCCCGGCUAACUACGUGCCAGCAGCCGCGGUAAUACGUAGGGGGCAAGCGUUAUCCGGAUUUACUGGGUGUAAAGGGAGCGCAGACGGCGAAGCAAGUCUGAAGUGAAAUGCAUGGGCUCAACCCAUGAAUUGCUUUGGAAACUGUUUGGCUUGAGUGUCGGAGGGGUAAGCGGAAUUCCUAGUGUAGCGGUGAAAUGCGUAGAUAUUAGGAGGAACACCGGAGGCGAAGGCGGCUUACUGGACGACAACUGACGUUGAGGCUCGAAGGCGUGGGGAGCAAACAGG
rnacentral:rRNA from 1 species